rnacentral:rRNA from 1 species
AUUGAACGCUGGCGGCAGGCCUAACACAUGCAAGUCGAGCGGGAACUUCGGUUCUAGCGGCGGACGGGCGAGUAAUGCGUAGGAAGCUACCCGAUAGAGGGGGAUACCAGUUGGAAACGACUGUUAAUACCGCAUAAUGUCUACGGACCAAAGUGUGGGACCUUCGGGCCACAUGCUAUCGGAUGCGCCUACGUGGGAUUAGCUAGUUGGUGAGGUAAUGGCUCACCAAGGCGACGAUCCCUAGCUGGUUUGAGAGGAUGAUCAGCCACACUGGAACUGAGACACGGUCCAGACUCCUACGGGAGGCAGCAGUGGGGAAUAUUGGUCAAUGGGCGAAAGCCUGAUCCAGCCAUGCCGCGUGUGUGAAGAAGGCCUUCGGGUUGUAAAGCACUUUCAGCGAGGAGGAAGGGGUUGUAGUUAAUAGCUGCAACCCUUGACGUUACUCGCAGAAGAAGCACCGGCUAACUCUGUGCCAGCAGCCGCGGUAAGAC